GGGUUGUGAGGUUAAGCGACUAAGCGUACACGGUGGAUGCCCUGGCAGUCAGAGGCGAUGAAGGACGUGCUAAUCUGCGAAAAGCGUCGGUAAGGUGAUAUGAACCGUUACAGCCGGCGAUGUCCGAAUGGGGAAACCCAGUGUGAUUCGUCACACUAUCGUUAACUGAAUACAUAGGUUAACGAGGCGAACCGGGGGAACUGAAACAUCUAAGUACCCCGAGGAAAAGAAAUCAACCGAGAUUCCCCCAGUAGCGGCGAGCGAACGGGGAGCAGCCCAGAGUCUGAAUCAGCUUGUGUGUUAGUGGAACGGUCUGGAAAGUCCGACGGUACAGGGUGAUAGUCCCGUACACCAAAAUGCACAGGCUGUGAACUCGAAGAGUAGGGCGGGACACGUGGUAUCCUGUCUGAAUAUGGGGGGACCAUCCUCCAAGGCUAAAUACUCCUGACUGACCGAUAGUGAACCAGUACCGUGAGGGAAAGGCGAAAAGAACCCCGGCGAGGGGAGUGAAAAAGAACCUGAAACCGUGUACGUACAAGCAGUGGGAGCACCUUCGGGUGUGACUGCGUACCUUUUGUAUAAUGGGUCAGCGACUUAUAUUCUGUAGCAAGGUUAACCGUAUAGGGGAGCCGCAGGGAAACCGAGUCUUAACUGGGCGUUAAGUUGCAGGGUAUAGACCCGAAACCCGGUGAUCUAGCCAUGGGCAGGUUGAAGGUUGGGUAACACUAACUGGAGGACCGAACCGACUAAUGUUGAAAAAUUAGCGGAUGACUUGUGGCUGGGGGUGAAAGGCCAAUCAAACCGGGAGAUAGCUGGUUCUCCCCGAAAGCUAUUUAGGUAGCGCCUCGUGAACUCAUCUUCGGGGGUAGAGCACUGUUUCGGCUAGGGGGUCAUCCCGACUUACCAACCCGAUGCAAACUACGAAUACCGAAGAAUGUUAUCACGGGAGACACACGGCGGGUGCUAACGUCCGUCGUGAAGAGGGAAACAACCCAGACCGCCAGCUAAGGUCCCAAAGUCAUGGUUAAGUGGGAAACGAUGUGGGAAGGCACAGACAGCCAGGAUGUUGGCUUAGAAGCAGCCAUCAUUUAAAGAAAGCGUAAUAGCUCACUGGUCGAGUCGGCCUGCGCGGAAGAUGUAACGGGGCUAAACCAUGCACCGAAGCUGCGGCAGCGACACUAUGUGUUGUUGGGUAGGGGAGCGUUCUGUAAGCCUGCGAAGGUGUGCUGUGAGGCAUGCUGGAGGUAUCAGAAGUGCGAAUGCUGACAUAAGUAACGAUAAAGCGGGUGAAAAGCCCGCUCGCCGGAAGACCAAGGGUUCCUGUCCAACGUUAAUCGGGGCAGGGUGAGUCGACCCCUAAGGCGAGGCCGAAAGGCGUAGUCGAUGGGAAACAGGUUAAUAUUCCUGUACUUGGUGUUACUGCGAAGGGGGGACGGAGAAGGCUAUGUUAGCCGGGCGACGGUUGUCCCGGUUUAAGCAUGUAGGCUGAUUGUCCAGGCAAAUCCGGAUAAUCAAGGCUGAGGUGUGAUGACGAGGCACUACGGUGCUGAAGUAACAAAUGCCCUGCUUCCAGGAAAAGCCUCUAAGCAUCAGGUAACAUCAAAUCGUACCCCAAACCGACACAGGUGGUCAGGUAGAGAAUACCAAGGCGCUUGAGAGAACUCGGGUGAAGGAACUAGGCAAAAUGGUGCCGUAACUUCGGGAGAAGGCACGCUGGUGUGUAGGUGAAGUCCCUGCGGAUGGAGCUGAGACCAGUCGAAGAUACCAGCUGGCUGCAACUGUUUAUUAAAAACACAGCACUGUGCAAACACGAAAGUGGACGUAUACGGUGUGACGCCUGCCCGGUGCCGGAAGGUUAAUUGAUGGGGUUAUCCGUAAGGAGAAGCUCUUGAUCGAAGCCCCGGUAAACGGCGGCCGUAACUAUAACGGUCCUAAGGUAGCGAAAUUCCUUGUCGGGUAAGUUCCGACCUGCACGAAUGGCGUAAUGAUGGCCAGGCUGUCUCCACCCGAGACUCAGUGAAAUUGAACUCGCUGUGAAGAUGCAGUGUACCCGCGGCAAGACGGAAAGACCCCGUGAACCUUUACUAUAGCUUGACACUGAACAUUGAGCCUUGAUGUGUAGGAUAGGUGGGAGGCUUUGAAGCGUGGACGCCAGUCUGCGUGGAGCCAACCUUGAAAUACCACCCUUUAAUGUUUGAUGUUCUAACGUUGGCCCCUGACCGGGGUUGCGGACAGUGUCUGGUGGGUAGUUUGACUGGGGCGGUCUCCUCCCAAAGCGUAACGGAGGAGCACGAAGGUUAGCUAAUCCUGGUCGGACAUCAGGAGGUUAGUGCAAUGGCAUAAGCUAGCUUGACUGCGAGCGUGACGGCGCGAGCAGGUGCGAAAGCAGGUCAUAGUGAUCCGGUGGUUCUGAAUGGAAGGGCCAUCGCUCAACGGAUAAAAGGUACUCCGGGGAUAACAGGCUGAUACCGCCCAAGAGUUCAUAUCGACGGCGGUGUUUGGCACCUCGAUGUCGGCUCAUCACAUCCUGGGGCUGAAGUAGGUCCCAAGGGUAUGGCUGUUCGCCAUUUAAAGUGGUACGCGAGCUGGGUUUAGAACGUCGUGAGACAGUUCGGUCCCUAUCUGCCGUGGGCGCUGGAGAAUUGAGGGGGGCUGCUCCUAGUACGAGAGGACCGGAGUGGACGCAUCACUGGUGUUCGGGUUGUCAUGCCAAUGGCACUGCCCGGUAGCUAAAUGCGGAAGAGAUAAGUGCUGAAAGCAUCUAAGCACGAAACUUGCCCCGAGAUGAGUUCUCCCUGAGACUUUAAGUCUCCUGAAGGAACGUUGAAGACGACGACGUUGAUAGGCCGGGUGUGUAAGCGCAGCGAUGCGUUGAGCUAACCGGUACUAAUGAACCGUGAGGCUUAACCUUACAACGCCGAAG
rnacentral:rRNA from 1 species